CCUACGGGAGGCAGCAGUAGGGAAUCUUCGGCAAUGGGGGCAACCCUGACCGAGCAACGCCGCGUGAGUGAAGAAGGUUUUCGGAUCGUAAAGCUCUGUUGUAAGUCAAGAACGGGUGUGAGAGUGGAAAGUUCACACUAUGACGGUAGCUUACCAGAAAGGGACGGCUAACUACGUGCCAGCAGCCGCGGUAAUACGUAGGUCCCGAGCGUUGUCCGGAUUUAUUGGGCGUAAAGCGAGCGCAGGCGGUUUGAUAAGUCUGAAGUUAAAGGCUGUGGCUCAACCAUAGUUCGCUUUGGAAACUGUCAAACUUGAGUGCAGAAGGGGAGAGUGGAAUUCCAUGUGUAGCGGUGAAAUGCGUAGAUAUAUGGAGGAACACCGGUGGCGAAAGCGGCUCUCUGGUCUGUAACUGACGCUGAGGCUCGAAAGCGUGGGGAGCGAACAGGAUUAGAUACCCUGGUAGUCCACGCCGUAAACGAUG
rnacentral:rRNA from 1 species